UUUGUUCACGUGGUGGAAUCCCAAAAGAAGGAGUGGAAGCAUGCAAUGCUUCUUGAGACUUAGACUGAGAACCAGUACACUAUAACUUUCAUCACAUCCUGCUGGCCAAAGCAAAUCCAAAUUCAAGAGGAUCAUGGCGGCCACUGUGUUGGAGAUAGACUAAAAAGGGACAGAGCCAGAAGCAAGGGACCAGCUGGGAGGCCACUCCAACUACACAGCGCCAGAGCCCAUGAAGCGAGGUCAGGUCCUGAUGCUGCUCUGGAUCGAUGGCCCUCGGACGCCCGCGUGAGGCUGUGGCGGCUCAGCAAUUUCCUGCCAUCACUUGCUGCGCACAAAUGAAAUCACUUCCAGUGACCUAAUGCAUGCUGCUGCCACGAGAAAACUGAAAAAAGAGGUGAAGAGGGAGCAGCAGGAGAAGCUGGGGAGCACAGGUGCUCUCAGGCUGUGUCUCUAGGGUGCAGUGAGACUGGAAGGGCAUUUGCAACCCAGGAAGGCAGCUCGCUGUCCAGAAACACGCCUGCCUCCCUUUGCCCACUUGUGAAGUCAUCAGAGGCUACCUGAGAGCCGAGCAUGGGCUUCUGAGGGGUCUGCAAAGACCCUGAACUUGUCUGCAGGCUUUGGUGUGAGUGUGCAGGUUAUCUGGGAAGAUUUCCCAAAGAAUCUGUGCCCCUCAAAAGGUGGCAUUGCCUUAAAGAGCUGGCAGCUUCCCCUCCGGGUUCCCUGAAUAUCGCCAGAGUGAAUUAGCACUGAGAGCUCCGAGAUGUCCUUGCUGGCAGUGGCCAUGGGUGCUGGUCUAUCCACAGCCCCCUGAAGCCGAAGGUGGAAGGUCAGUCCAGCUGCCUUUCUGCUUCCCUGGACUCCCUGCUGUAGCCCCAGCCCUGGAGCCAGCGUGACCCUGGGGGAAGCCUGCCUCUCACUCCAGAGGCAACCUGGGCCCCGCACAACCAGGGCAGCCCUCCCCCCGAGGGAAGAGAAGUGGGGGAAGGGAAGCCACACUCUGGGAUCAGGCGCAGUGCCCAUCACUUCAGAGCAUCCAUUUACUUCUUACAACACCUGCGACAUGGACCUCAUUGUCCCCAUUUUCAAAAGGGUGAAGCUAAGGCCUGGAGACAUUCACUUGCUCAAGAUUACACUGAGACCUCUCUGUUGGGUCAGGUGUGCAGGCCUGCUGUCCCCAGAGCCAAGGCUUUUCAGCCCCAGGACACAAGAGAUCGUUCGGGGGGGGGGCAGUCUGCGAACCAUUGUGUUAUAGCUGUGGUUCCCCCACAGCAGUGUUUGCUCCCACAGUCCAGCAUUUGCACAUCCUGUUUCCACUGUCUGCGGGUCCCGCUCAGCCACUGUGGACUUGAGAAAAAAUCCACUCGCCUGUCAGCCCUCAGCUCAGCUUUCUUCUGUGCUCAGAAACCCUCUCUGCCCUCCCCCAGCCUCCCCCCCCCCCCCGCCCGCAGCCGAUUUCAGUCCUUUCUUCUCAGCUCCCAAAGCACAACACAGACUUUUAUUAAAGGACACAACACGGAGUUCCCGUCGUGGCGCAGUGGUUAGCGAAUCCGACUAGGAACCAUGAGGUUGAGGGUUCGGUCCCUGCCCUUGCUCAGUGGGUUGACGAUCCGGCGUUGCCGUGAGCUGUGGUAUAGGUUGCAGACGUGGCUCGGAUCCAGCGUUGCUGUGGCUCUGGUGUAGGCCGGUGGCUACACCUCCGAUUCGACCCCUAGCCUGGGAACCUCCAUAUGCCGCAGGAGCGGCCCAAAGAAAUAACAAAAAG
rnacentral:lncRNA from 1 species